UCCUAACCACUGGACCACCAGGGAAUUCCCAAGACUUCUUUUUUAAAUGACUUUUUUUCCCACUCUGAUUCAUUCCUGGGAUCAGUUUCAUGUGGGAACAUUAAACCAACCUUGCAUUACUAGAAUAAAGCCACUUUGAUUGUGAUAUAUUACUGUUUUACAUACCAUGGAUACAGUUUGUGCUUUUAUUUACAAAUUUUGCAUGCAUGUUCAAAAGAGAAACUGGCCUAUGAUUCUAUUCUUGUAAUAUUCUUUUUACUUUUGAUCUGAAGCUUUCGUUGGCCUUAUAAACAUUUUGAGCAAUAUAUUAUUUUCUGUUUCCUGGAAGGGUUUUAUGUAAGAUUACCAAUAUUUCUUCCCUAAAUAUUCGGAGGAAUUUACUUGGAAAGCCAUUUAUCCCUGGAAAUCAUUUUCUGUAAAGGUACUUAAUUAUACAAACAACUUUUUGAGUAGAUAUAGAUUUUUUAGAUAUUUCUUUUCUUGGGUUAGUCUUGUUAGGUUGCAUGUUUUAAGAAUUUGUAAUUUUGGAUGAAUUUUCAAAUUUAUAAAUAUAAAAUUAUAAUUUUAACAGCUUUAUCGGGAUGUAAUUUACAUACCAUAAUUUAACCCUUUAAUGUAUACAAUUCAGUGGUUCUUAGUGUAACCACUAAAAGACGUGUGUAACCAUCACAACCAUCCAAUUUUAGAUUUCUGUCCCCCCACAAAGAAACCCAUUACACGUUAACAAUGUUUUUUCAUUCUCUCAACCCUCUCAGCUCUAGGCAACCCCUAAUCUCCUUUCUGUCUCUACAGAUUUGCUAUUCUGGGCAUUUCAUAUAAAUGGGACCAUACAAUAUGUGACCUUUUGAGAGUGGCUGCUUUUCUUUACAGAAUGCUUUCAUGGUUCAUCCAUGUUGUAACAUGGAUCAAUAUUUCAUUCCUUUUAUAGCUGAAUGCUAUUCUAUCGUACGGAUAUUCCACAUUUUGUUUAUUCAUUUGUCAGAUUGACAUUUGAAUUUUUUCCACCUUUUGUUUUAGAAAUAUGCUUCUAUGAACAUCCACGUACAAGCUUUUGUGCAGACAUAAGUUUCUAUUUCUCUUAGGUAUAUAUUUAGUAGUGGAACUGCUGGGUCAUAGGGUAACUCUAUGUUUAACACUUGCAGGAACUGUCAAGCUGUUUCGUAAAAUGGCCGCACAUUUUGUAAAAUGGCUCAGACUGUACUUUCUAUCCAAAGGUAUCCAAAGUCACUUUAGAUGCAAAAUGUUUAAAGUUGACCUUUGCUGCUGCCCAAAUCGUAGCCACUGUGGGCAGUCUGCAAGAUGGCAUCUUAGGUUUCUCAGGAAGAAAUUAGAAUACACGAAGGGGGAAAUAAGUGUACAAUUACAUAACGUAGAUUUCAUAUUUAAUUUUAUGGGAAAAGCAAUAAUUAGGUGGCUUUUGGUUUUAACUGGAAAUAGCCACUCAUUGGGAAAUAAUUACUCGCUAAUGGCCUUAGCGAGUCACUCUGGAGCUUCUCCUAGAACUAGAAAACCUAAGUUCUGCUCACAGCAGAACAUGGAGACGGUGCCCAGUGCUGGCGAGGCAGCACAGAACAGGGGAGUCGUCGCUGGAGGGAGCGGAAGACAGUGCAGCCACUCUGGAAAGGAGUUGGCCAGCUUCCUAGAAAGCGAAACUACAUUGCCCACUUUUCCCCAAUGUCACCUCUUGUGAAAGUCAAGUCAGCGUCCCAGCAGGAUCCUGACGUUGACACGACUGCCCCUGUCAUCCGUUGCCCUGGGAAGGCCCGCGGCGGCUUUCGGUCUGGGGCUCUUCCCAGUCAGGCGAGCGUUUGUGUACAGCUUCUGUGUGGACUUCAGUCUCCAUUUCCCCGGGGUAAGUGCCCAUGACUGCGGUUGCCGAGUCCUGCGAUGGCUGCUUUUGUAGGAAGUUUCGCAGUAGGGGAGCGCCUGGCCUGAGCCCCGCGUGCCGGCCUCUGCCCACCUCUCUGACGCCUCAACCCCAGGAGGGAAGGUCCACGUGGACCAGCGCUCCCUCUGCACCUGCUGUGCCCUCGGUCCUCAGGGUCACAGGGCUUCCCCAGAGCACGGGCAGCGUGGGCCCCUCCCUGCGUCCCGCCCCACCCCCGCCUCAUCCGGGCCCCCCGCCCCCCGUGGCUUUGGUGGGAGCGUCUCAAGGAAGGACCCCCUCCUCCGAGCCUACUCCACCCUCAGCCCCCUUUCCCACAGAGCUUCCGUCCCGACGCCAGGCCCGUGGGGCUCCCGCAGCAGCAGCGCUGGGACUGCCGGGUUUCUGCAGUUUCAGUUCGGACUCCAUCUACCCGGAGUCAGAGCCCGCAGCGCGGCUCAUCCUGGGCACGGAGGCUGGGGGACGACGGGAGGCUGAAGAGCAUGGCGUCCACCUUCACCCCCUCCCUCCUCUCUUGGCUGAGCCCUGCGGCCCCGCGGGUUCCCAGUGGGCCCCCCCCGGGGGGCCUGUCCCUUCAGGUCCUCCCAGCUGCCUGACACCCCUCUGCCCCCAGCGUGGACCCCCAGAGCCCCAGCUCUUCCCACUCCUGGUCCAGCAGGACGGGGUCCCUGCGGCAACCUGGACAGGCGGGCGAUGGGCAGCCCGGCCCCUCCCGGGAGGCAGCCCCGUGGGGUGGGGAGGGGGGCGGGUACUGCGAGCCACCCAUGGUCGAGCGCGUCACCUCGGUGCGUGGCAUGGGGCGCCGUGGCUACACGCAUCUGGAUGGCCGGGAUCAGACCCAGCCCUGCCACCAACUGGCUGGGUCCCCGGAGGCCGGUCACUGGACCCCAUUGUCCCUGUUCACCAUCUGCAACGUGCGUGACCCGAGGACCCCCUCACAGGUGGUCGUGAAGGCUGACCGAGUCGGUUUGUGUGGAGGACAGAGAACAGUGAGGCCAGCAGCCGGUGCUGUGCCUUGCGGUGGAGGAAAGCGGGACUCAGAGGACUGCGGGACUCCGGCAUCCAGGGUGGGGCCCGGGCACGUGGGCCCCGAAGUCCACCGGAGCGGCGGGCACAUGGAGCUUCGAGGCUGGGGGAGAAAAUCAAGAGCAUCAAGAAGAAGCUGAGGACUUCCCUGUUAGCGCAGUGGUUAAGAAUCCGCCUGCCAAUGCAGGAGACAUGGGUUUGAGCCCUGGUCCGGGAAGAUCCCACAUGCCACGGAGCAGCUAAGCCCGUGCGCCACAACUACU